AUUGAACGCUGGCGGCAUGAUUUACACAUGCAAGUCGAACGGUAACAGGCCGCAAGGUGCUGACGAGUGGCGAACGGGUGAGUAAUGCAUCGGAACGUGCCCAGUCGUGGGGGAUAACUACUCGAAAGAGUAGCUAAUACCGCAUACGAUCUAUGGAUGAAAGCGGGGGACCGUAAGGCCUCGCGCGAUUGGAGCGGCCGAUGUCAGAUUAGGUAGUUGGUGGGGUAAAGGCUCGCCAAGCCAACGAUCUGUAGCUGGUCUGAGAGGACGACCAGCCACACUGGGACUGAGACACGGCCCAGACUCCUACGGGAGGCAGCAGUGGGGAAUUUUGGACAAUGGGCGCAAGCCUGAUCCAGCAAUGCCGCGUGCAGGAAGAAGGCCUUCGGGUUGUAAACUGCUUUUGUACGGAACGAAACGGCUCUGGUUAAUACCCGGGGCUAAUGACGGUACCGUAAGAAUAAGCACCGGCUAACUACGUG
rnacentral:rRNA from 1 species